UUAAAAUUGCAAAAACAGGGGAAGGAAAAGCUUACUUGGUUUGUGGGAGGCGAAGUCGACGGCGAUUGAGUGCUGGGUGAGAGAAUGCCCUGGUGGUUCGUCUGAUCUCUCCCAGGAUAACAAUUCUGGAGAUGAGGAUAAGCACUGUUUGUUCGUCCAUGUUCGAGGAAAACAGGGCACGACUGUUAGAGACAACCCAUCCUUACAUCGGAGAAGCAUCGUGUGGGAGAGAGAAACUGAGGCCACUAGCAGGUUUGGUAGAAGAUAAAUCUGAUCCACAUUUUGGAUCAGAUUUGGUGCAGUUUUGGUUGAGCCGGUCUCCCCUAGGAUGAGGAAGAAGAGGAUGAAUAAUUAGUUUAGAAACGACGCUGUUUUGUUUCUAACUGAAAUGACUAUCUUCAAUUUGCCCCCUGAAAGUUCUGAUAUUUAGCAAUCAGACCCUUUAUCCUUGAAAAUCUUUUUUUUAA